rnacentral:rRNA from 1 species
UAAAAUGUAAAACUAGAGUAUUAAUAGUUAUGAUCUUAAAACUUAAAGAAUUUGGCGGUAUUAUAGUCUAUUUAGAGGAAUCUGUUAUGUAAUUGAUAAUCCACGUUGAACCUUACUUAUAUUAAUUCUUGUAUACCGCUGUUUAAGAAUAUACUUUUAGGUAAUUUUCUUAAUAUAUGAUUAAUUAAAAUUUCAAGUCAAGGUGCAGUUAUAUAUAAGUUGAAUAAUGGAUUACAAUAAAAUGUAUUUAUUAUGGAUUAUUAUUGAAAUAUAAUUUGAAGGUGNAUUUANAGUAAUUUUUUAAAAAGUAUUACAAGGA